CUAGUACGAGAGGAACCG
rnacentral:snRNA from 1 species